AUUGAACGCUGGCGGCAAGCCUAACACAUGCAAGUCGAACGAGUGGCGGACGGGUGAGUAAUGUCUGGGAAACUGCCUGCUGGAGGGGGCUAACUACUGGAAACGGUAGAUAAUACCGCAUACCAUCGGAUGUGCCCAGAUUGGAGUGGCUAGUAGGUGGGGUAACGGCUCACCUAGGAGAAGAUCCCUAGCUGGUCUGAGAGGAUGACCAGCACCACUGGAACUGAGACACGGUCCAGACUCCUACGGGAGGCAGCAGUGGGGAAUAUUGCACAAUGGGCGCAAGCCUGAUGCAGCCAUGCCGCGUGUAUGAAGAAGGCCUUCGGGUUGUAAAGUACUUUCAGCGGGGAGGCGUUACCCGCAGAAGAAGCACCGGCUAACUCCGUGCCAGCAGCCGCGGUAAUAC
rnacentral:rRNA from 1 species